GAUGAACGCUGGCGGCGUGCCUAAUACAUGCAAGUCGAGCGAACAGACGAGGAGCUUGCUCCUCUGACGUUAGCGGCGGACGGGUGAGUAACACGUGGAUAACCUACCUAUAAGACUGGGAUAACUUCGGGAAACCGGAGCUAAUACCGGAUAAUAUAUUGAACCGCAUGGUUCAAUAGUGAAAGACGGUUUUGCUGUCACUUAUAGAUGGAUCCGCGCCGCAUUAGCUAGUUGGUAAGGUAACGGCUUACCAAGGCGACGAUGCGUAGCCGACCUGAGAGGGGGUGCGCCAACAUGAGAACGAAGCCCGGGCCCGACCCCCUAGGGGGGGAAGAAGAAGGGAAUCUUCCGCAAGGGGGGAAACCCUGCCGGAGCACCGCCGGGGGGGGAAUGAAGUUCUUCGGAUCGAAAAACUGUUUUUUUAGGGAAAAAAAAAUGUGUAAGUAACUAUGCACGUCUGGAGGGUACCUAAUAAAAAAGCCACGGCAAACUACGGG
rnacentral:rRNA from 1 species